UCCGUUGUGGUCUAGGGGCUAGGAUUUGCCGCUCUCAUCGAGAGUCCUCACACUUGAUCAAGUGCCGGCAAGGCCCGGGUUCGAUUCCCGGCGACGGAA